GACGAACGCUGGCGGCGUGCUUAACACAUGCAAGUGGAGCGACGAACCGGGGCUUGCCCCGGGGCAGAGCCGCGAACGGGUGAGUAACACGUGGGUAACCUGCCUCAAUGAUUGGGACAACCCGGGGAAACUCGGGCUAAUACCAAAUGUGUUCACUCCUUCUAAGGGGAGUGAGGAAAGGAAGCUUCGGCCUCCGCAAUUGAGAUGGGCCCGCGGCCCAUUAGCUUGUUGGUGAGGUUAACGGCUCACCAAGGCUUCGAUGGGUAGCUGGUCUGAGAGGACGAUCAGCCACACUGGGACUGAGACACGGCCCAGACUCCUACGGGAGGC
rnacentral:rRNA from 1 species